rnacentral:lncRNA from 1 species
ACCAUCUGUGGUGCUGAGGACUUGCCAGUGGAUGAAGAAGAAAACAAGGACAAGGUGAUAAGGAGGGGUUGGCAAAGUCCGAUCCAUUUGGGAGCCACAGAAAAUCAGGACUGAAAAUGUAAAAGGGAGGUGUCUGGCUCCUCACUUUCCGGAAGAUGGAGAUUCUUUCCUGCUACUCACCACUGUGGCCCCAGCACCUGGUGAAUGCGAGCUGUGGUCCACAGUUGAAGUUCAAAAUAUAUGGGUUGAAUGAUUGAAAGCAGUGGUUUCGAUACGGACAAAACCGGCAGGCCGCCCAGGUGGAAGAAGGAUUUCACAGACACACCUGAGCAGCCACUG